GGGCUGGGGCUCAGCGGUGGAGUGCUUGCCCAACAUGCGUGAGGCCCUGGGUUCAAUCCUCAGCACCACA
rnacentral:tRNA from 1 species